GAUGAAGAACGUAGUGAAAUGCGAUACGUAAUGUGAAUUGCAGAAUUCAGUGAAUCAUCGAGUCUUUGAACGCACAUUGCGCCCCCUGGUACUCCGGGGGGCAUGCCUGUCCGAGCGUCAUUGCUGCCCUCAAGCACGGCUUGUGUGUUGGGCCUCCGCCCCCCGGCUCCCGGGGGGCGGGCCCGAAAGGCAGCGGCGGCACCGCGUCCGGUCCUCGAGCGUAUGGGGCUUCGUCACCCGCUCCGUAGGCCCGGCCGGCGCCCGCCGGCGACCCCCCUCAAUCUUUCCAGGUUGACCUCGGAUCAGGUAGGGAUACCCGCUGAACUUAAGAAUAUCAAUAAGCGGAGGA
rnacentral:misc_RNA from 1 species